GACAGAGGGUGCAAACGUUGUUCGGAAUUACUGGGCGUAAAGCGCGUGUAGGCGGCUUGGCAAGUCGGGUGUGAAAGCCCUGGGCUCAACCUAGGAAGUGCACUCGAAACUGCUUCGCUUGAGUGCCGGAGAGGAAAGCGGAAUUCUCGGUGUAGAGGUGAAAUUCGUAGAUAUUAGGAAGAACACCGGUGGCGAAGGCGGCCCACUGGAUCGGUACUGACGCUGAGCUGCGAAAGCGUGGGGAGCAAACAGG
rnacentral:rRNA from 1 species